rnacentral:misc_RNA from 1 species
AGAUCCUGGUUUGAAUGUUAGUUCCGAUUCAAAUGUCGCCGUUGGUGCUACGUCAACGGUCGAAUUAACUCCAGAUAGCAAAGAAUGAAGAUGGUGAUUAAGCAACGAAGUAGGCAUCAUUGUCACUACAUUCUCCUGGGCACUGGUGUAGAUGUUUCAGCAUCAACUAUUGGUGGAAGAUUCGUCAUCGUCUAUUGCUGAUGAAAAUGGGAUCUCUUGACAUUAGUCUGCCCAUCGUUAGAGUUUAGCUUGGAGUAACAUGCUUGCCUA